CCGGCGCACGGGUGAGUAACGCGUAUCCAACCUGCCUUACACUCUUGGACAGCCUUCUGAAGGGAGAUUAAUACAAGAUGUUAUCAUGAGUAAGCAUUUUCACAUGAUUAAAGGUUUACCGGUGUAAGAUGGGGAUGCGUUCCAUUAGACAGUAGGCGGGGUAACGGCCCACCUAGUCUUCGAUGGAUAGGGGUUCUGAGAGGAAGGUCCCCCACAUUGGAACUGAGACACGGUCCAA
rnacentral:rRNA from 1 species